UACGUAGGGUGCAAGCGUUGUCCGGAAUUACUGGGCGUAAAGAGCUCGUAGGUGGUUUGUCGCGUUGUUCGUGAAAACUCACAGCUUAACUGUGGGCGUGCGGGCGAUACGGGCAGACUGGAGUACUGCAGGGGAGACUGGAAUUCCUGGUGUAGCGGUGGAAUGCGCAGAUAUCAGGAGGAACACCGGUGGCGAAGGCGGGUCUCUGGGGCAGUAACUGACGCUGAGGAGCGAAAGCGUGGGGAGCGAACAGG
rnacentral:rRNA from 1 species